rnacentral:rRNA from 1 species
UACGGAGGGUGCAAGCGUUAUCCGGAUUCACUGGGUUUAAAGGGUGCGUAGGCGGGCAGGUAAGUCAGUGGUGAAAUCUCCGGGCUUAACCCGGAACUGCCGUUGAUACUAUCUGUCUUGAAUAUCGUGGAGGUAAGCGGAAUAUGUCAUGUAGCGGUGAAAUGCUUAGAUAUGACAUAGAACACCGAUUGCGAAGGCAGCUUACUACACGAUCAUUGACGCUGAGGCACGAAAGCGUGGGGAGCAAAUAGG